rnacentral:rRNA from 1 species
CGUACACUCCUGCGGGAGGCAGCAGUGGGGAAUAUUGCACAAUGGGCGCAAGCCUGAUGCAGCCAUGCCGCGUGUAUGAAGAAGGCCUUCGGGUUGUAAAGUACUUUCAGCGGGGAGGAAGGCGAUAAGGUUAAUAACCUUGUCGAUUGACGUUACCCGCAGAAGAAGCACCGGCUAACUCCGUGCCAGCAGCCGCGGUAAUACGGAGGGUGCAAGCGUUAAUCGGAAUUACUGGGCGUAAAGCGCACGCAGGCGGUCUGUCAAGUCGGAUGUGAAAUCCCCGGGCUCAACCUGGGAACUGCAUUCGAAACUGGCAGGCUAGAGUCUUGUAGAGGGGGGUAGAAUUCCAGGUGUAGCGGUGAAAUGCGUAGAGAUCUGGAGGAAUACCGGUGGCGAAGGCGGCCCCCUGGACAAAGACUGACGCUCAGGUGCAAAAGCGUGGGGAGCAAACAGGAUUAGAAACCCCUGUAGUCC